rnacentral:RNase_P_RNA from 1 species
GUGCAGACACGCUCUAUCGCUGCCGUCUUUGGACGGGGGAGGAAAGUCCGAGCAACACAGAGCACCACGCAAGCUAACGACUUGAUGUCCGUGAGGGUGUAGUAGCGUAACAGAGAAUGACCGCCUCCCUUCGGGGAGGUAAGGGUGAAAAGGCGGGGUAAGAGCCCACCGCGAGGGUAGCAAUACUCCUCGGCCGUACGCCUCGUGGGUUGCAAGACCAUGUAUAUCGACAAUUAAGGGUUGCUCGCCCGAUGUCGAGGGGUAGGUUGCUGGAAGCUGCGAGUGAUCGCAGUUGUAGAUAAAUGAUAGAGGCUCCGUUUCGGCGGAGUACAGAACUCGGCUUACAGGGUCUGCACUGUU